UACGAAGGGGGCUAGCGUUGUUCGGAAUUACUGGGCGUAAAGCGUAUGCAGGCGGACUUUUAAGUCGGGGGUGAAAUCCCGAGGCUCAACCUCGGAACUGCCUUCGAUACUGGAAGUCUUGAGUCCGGGAGAGGUGAGUGGAACUCCGAGUGUAGAGGUGAAAUUCGUAGAUAUUCGGAAGAACACCAGUGGCGAAGGCGGCUCACUGGCCCCGGUACUGACGCUGAGAUACGAAAAGCGUGGGGAGCAAACAGG
rnacentral:rRNA from 1 species